rnacentral:rRNA from 1 species
GAAAGUAAAGAAGGGCGUAUGGCGGAUGCCUAGGCUCUCGGAGGCGAAGAAGGACGUGAUAAGCUGCGAUAAGCUGCGGCGAGGAGCAAAUAUCCUGUGACCCGCAGAUUUCCGAAUGGGGCAACCCGGCAGGACCACCUGUCAUCCCGGGAAACGGGAAGCAAACGUGGGGAACUGAAACAUCUCAUUACCCACAGGAAAAGAAAAUAACAAUGAUUCCGUCAGUAGUGGCGAGCGAAAGCGGAAGAGCCCAAACCGGUUCUGUUUCGGCAGAGCCGGGGUAGAAGGACUGCAUAUGACAAAGGAGCAGGUAGCCGAACGGUCUGGAAAGGCCGGUCAAAGACGGUGAUAACCCGGUAGGCGAAACCAGCGACAGCGACAGCAGUAUCCUGAGUAGUGCGGGACACGAGAAAUCCUGUAUGAAUCCGCGGGGACCAUCCCGUAAGGCUAAAUACUCCCGAGAGACCGAUAGCGAACCAGUACUGUGAAGGAAAGGUGAAAAGAACCUCGAACAGAGGAGUGAAAAAGACCCUGAAACCAUACGCCUACAAGCGGUCGGAGCCCCUACGUGGGGUGACGGCGUGCCUUUUGCAUAAUGAACCUACGAGUUACUUUUGCCAGCCAGGUUAAUCGAUUCAGUCGAGGAGCCGAAGCGAAAGCGAGUCUUAAUAGGGCGGUAUAAGUUGGCAGGAGUAGACGCGAAACCAAGUGAUCUACCCAUGAGCAGGUUGAAGGUUAGGUAACACUAACUGGAGGACCGCACCGGUAAACGUUGAAAAGUUUUCGGAUGACUUGUGGGUAGGGGUGAAAGGCUAAUCAAACUUGGAGAUAGCUCGUACUCCCCGAAAUGCAUUUAGGUGCAGCCUUCUGAAUAUAUUUAAGAGGUAGAGCGACUGAUAAGAUGCGAGGGCUUCACCGCCUAUCAAGUCUUGAUAAACUCCGAAUGCUUAAAUAUGAAUCAGAGGAGUGAGGGCAUGGGUGCUAAGGUCCAUGUCCGAGAGGGAAAUAACCCAGACCACCGGCUAAGGUCCCGAAAUAACGGCUAAGUUGAAUUAACGAAGUAGAAUUGCAAAGACAGCUAGGAUGUUGGCUUGGAAGCAGCCAUUCAUUUAAAGAGUGCGUAACAGCUCACUAGUCGAGGAGUUCUGCGUGGAUAAUAAUCGGGCAUAAGCCGUUUACCGAAGCUGUGGAAUUGGCAACAAUUGGUAGGGGAGCAUUCCAUAAGCCGCAGAAGGUUUUCCUUGAGGAAUGCUGGAGGUAAUGGAAAAGCAAAUGUAGGUAUAAGUAACGAUAAAGAGGGCGAGAACCCCUCUCGCCGAAAGACCAAGGGUUCCUGAUCAACGCUAAUCGGAUCAGGGUAAGUCGGGCCCUAAGGCGCAGCCGAACGGCGCAGCCGAUGGCAGAAACGGUUAAUAUUCCGUUACUAUGAUACGGAGUGACGAGGAGACGGAGAAGUGACACUCUCGCCUGCUGACGGAAUAGCAGGUUGAACGGAGUAGAUAAUGACAUGGUAGGCAAAUCCGCCGUGACAGUCGAACCGGAUAGUACUGGGCGCCCCCGGGCAACCAGAUAGUAGAGGUAAUCAGGCUCCCGAGAAAAUCCCCUAAACAUAUGCGUAUCAUACCCGUACCCUAAACGGACACACGUGGUUGAGUAGAAAAUACUAAGGCGCUCGAGCGACUCACGGUUAAGGAACUAGGCAAAUUGACCCUGUAACUUCGGGACAAAGGGUCCCUCCCUCCGGGGAGGGCGCAGAGAAUAGGUCCAGGCAACUGUUUAACAAAAACACAGGGCUGUGCGAAAUUGAAAGAUGAAGUAUACAGCCUGACACCUGCCCGGUGCUGGAAGGUUAAGAGGAGAUGUCAUCGCAAGAGAAGCGUUGAAUUGAAGCCCCAGUAAACGGCGGCCGUAACUAUAACGGUCCUAAGGUAGCGAAAUUCCUUGUCG